rnacentral:rRNA from 1 species
UAAGCGGAGGAAAAGAAACUAACAAAGAUUACCUUAGUAAUGGCGAAUGAACCGGCAACAGCUCGAAAUUAAAAUCUACUGUUCAAAGAACAGUCGAAUUGUAAUCUGGAUUGCUUAAAUACAUCUGUUUUCUUAAGUCAAUGAAAGUGACCUCAUAGAGGGUGAUAAGCCCGUAAGGAGAGCAGAUGCUUAAAGUAAUUCUAAAAAGAGUCGGGUUGUUUGGAACUGCUGCCCUAAAGGGAGAUAUGAAUCUUCCAAAGCUAAAUAUGGAUGGGAGACCGAUAGCGCACAAGUACUGUGAAGGAAAGAUGAAAAGGACUUUGAAAAGAGAGUGAAAAGACCUGAAAUCGUUGAGAAGGAAGCGGUAUAAACUGAAGUGCUACAGAGGAAAUACGGAAGCAAUUUCGUAAAUCUUUUUACAGCUGGGUAAAAUGAAGUUUGUCGAGAAAAGAAAGGUGCAAGCCGUUUAAUUCACGAUAAGCUUGAGGGGCUACGGCGAUUUUACCAAAAUGGUUUUUACUGUCCCGUCUUGAAACACGGACCAAGGAGUCUAAC